rnacentral:rRNA from 1 species
CCUACGGGUGGCAGCAGUGGGGAAUAUUGGGCAAUGGGCGCAAGCCUGACCCAGCAACGCCGCGUGAAGGAUGAAUGCUUUCGGGUUGUAAACUUCUUUUGAUAGGGAAGAAUAACGUUCCGUUACUGGCGAAUUAGCCGUGGCUAACUACGUGCCAUCAGCCGCGGUAAUACGUAGGUUGCCAGCGUUAUCCGGAUUUACUGGGUUUAAAGGGCGUGUAGCCGGGUUGGUAAGUCAGUUGUGAAAGCUUGCGGCUUAACCGUAAAACUGGAUUUGAAACUGGCAGUCUUGAGUACAGUAGAGGCAGACGGAAUUCGUGGUGUAGCGGUGAAAUGCUUAGAUAUUAGGAAGAACUCCGAUUGCGAAGGCAGUUUACUGGACAGCAACUGACAGUGAGGCGCGAAAGUGUGGGUAGCAAACAGGAUUAGAUACCCGAGUAGUC